CACACCCGUUCCCAUGCCGAACACGGAAGUUAAGCUCUUUAGCGCCGAUGGUAGUUGGGGGUUUCCCCCUGUGAGAGUAGGACGUCGCUAAGC
rnacentral:rRNA from 1 species